rnacentral:rRNA from 1 species
UACGGAGGGAGCUAGCGUUGUUCGGAAUUACUGGGCGUAAAGCGUGUGUAGGCGGCCUUAUAAGUCGGAUGUGAAAGCCCAGGGCUCAACCCUGGAAGUGCACUCGAUACUGUAAGGCUCGAGUACUGGAGAGGUUGGUGGAAUUCUCGGUGUAGAGGUGAAAUUCGUAGAUAUCGAGAGGAACACCGGUGGCGAAGGCGGCCAACUGGACAGAUACUGACGCUGAGACACGAAAGCGUGGGGAGCAAACAGG